ACACUUCAAGCUGCACCUCCUACAUGUGAAAAAGCACAUGUCAACAAUACAUCAUGAAGUGGGGGCAAUUUAUAGACAAAGAAAUUUUGGUGCAAUAAAUUCCAUUGGACAAGAAAAUAAUUAGGAUUCGGUGGAUUAAACCGUGGGUCCCGUAAUUCGCCCAUAUGGCGUGUGACUCAUCAAAAUCGGAUUAGUUGUCAAAAAUGACACAUGGGGACAUCCGAAGGAGUGCAUCAAACAGUUCAAGAUGAAGACAAAAUUAAAGGAAAGAAUCUUCUGUGAUUGACUUUGAUUUAAAUCAAAUAUUAAUCAGGUUAAUCAAUUGAAGAUAAUCAGG
rnacentral:lncRNA from 1 species